GAUGCUAAUACCGCAUAAAACCUAACACCGCAUGGUGUAGGGUUGAAAGAUGGUUUCGGCUAUCACUUUAGGAUGGACCCGCGGUGCAUUAGUUAGUUGGUGAGGUAAAGGCUCACCAAGACCGUGAUGCAUAGCCGACCUGAGAGGGUAAUCGGCCACACUGGGACUGAGACACGGCCCAGACUCCUACGGGAGGCAGCAGUAGGGAAUCUUCCACAAUGGACGAAAGUCUGAUGGAGCAACGCCGCGUGAGUGAAGAAGGUUUUCGGAUCGUAAAACUCUGUUGUUGGAGAAGAAUGUAUCUGAUAGUAACUGAUCAGGUAGUGACGGUAUCCAACCAGAAAGCCACGGCUAACUACGUGCCAGCAGCCGCGGUAAUACGUAGGUGGCAAGCGUUGUCCGGAUUUAUUGGGCGUAAAGCGAGCGCAGGCGGUUUCUUAAGUCUGAUGUGAAAGCCUUCGGCUCAACCGAAGAAGUGCAUCGGAAACUGGGAAACUUGAGUGCAGAAGAGGACAGUGGAACUCCAUGUGUAGCGGUGAAAUGCGUAGAUAUAUGGAAGAACACCAGUGGCGAAGGCGGCUGUCUGGUCUGUAACUGACGCUGAGGCUCGAAAGCAUGGGUAGCAAACAGGAUUAGAUACCCUGGUAGUCCAUGCCGUAAACGAUGAGUGCUAGGUGUUGGAGGGUUUCCGCUCUUCAGUGCCGCAGCUAACGCAUUAAGCACUCCGCCUGGGGAGUACGACCGCAAGGUUGAAACUCAAAGGAAUUGACGGGCGCCCGCACAAGCGGUGGAGCAUGUGGUUUAAUUCGAAGCAACGCGAAGAACCUUACCAGGUCUUGACAUCCUUUGACCACUCUAGAGAUAGAGCUUUCCCUUCGGAGACAAAGUGACAGGUGGUGCAUGGUUGUCCUCAGCUCGUGUCGUGAGAUGUUGGGUUAAGUCCCGCAACGAGCGCACCCUUAUUACUAGUUGCCAGCAUUAGUUGGG
rnacentral:rRNA from 1 species